UUAUCAAAGAGUUUGAUCCUGGCUCAGGACGAACGCUGGCGGCGCGCCUAACACAUGCAAGUCGAACGGGGCUUACAUUCUGAAGUUUUCGGAUGGACGAGUGUAAGCUUAGUGGCGGACGGGUGAGUAACACGUGAGCAACCUGCCUUUCAGAGGGGGAUAACAGCCGGAAACGGCUGCUAAUACCGCAUGAAGUUGCGGGGACACAUGUCCUUGCAACCAAAGGAGCAAUCCGCUGAAAGAUGGGCUCGCGUCCGAUUAGCCAGUUGGCGGGGUAACGGCCCAC
rnacentral:rRNA from 1 species